GCACUAAUGGGGUAGUGGUAACCUGGGUCGUUGCCACUGGGUUGCACUUUAGUUAAUUUCGACCCGCUGGGGGUUCGAUUCCCUCUUAGUGCA